UCACUUUGUAUCUUAAGUAGAGGCUUCUCUUUGGACCCUCAAAACCUUCCUUCAGCUUGCACUGUGUAUUAUCAUAACAACAUAACAAACCUCCUUUAUAAUCUGGUCUAAUAGACCUUCCAGAUUCAUCGAUUGUAACAUUAUAAAGGUCACACUUACACUCGGUGCACCCUGAUUUAUCCUCUGCGCCGCGAUUAUCAAUAGCAUGAAUAUUAACCAGCCAUUUCUCCUCAAACUCUUCUGGAAUCUCUGCAGGAUUACCUAUCUCUAUUCCAAAAGGAUCCGGAAUAUCAGUCGCCGUUCGUCGUGUUUCGGAUCCAAGGCCAAAGUAUUGUGCAUAAAUAGUUCCCUGACACAUGCCACUGUUCCUAAAAGUAUUUUUCAAAUGCGAGUUUGCUUUACUUUGAUGAUAUCUUACAACAACCCAAUGAUGGAGAUAAGUUUCAUGGAGAGGUAUAGGAUUACCAGCUUCAUCAACUACUUCAGCAUCGAAACUCUUGAUUGCUACAUGACCUCUUGGAAAAUCAAUAUCAUAAUAAAAUCUAUUAACAACUGAUCCAGGUCCUAGCUCAAAUUUGGGGGAUAAGAAAACAGCUGAUUUUAUCUUAGCUUUAGUCUUCAGAAUAGAACCUGAGCAAGAUGUGCUCAACAACAGAAGAAGUAUUGAAAGUGAAAAUACAAAAUUUCCAGACAUAGAACACAUGUUGAUCUUAGCAAAAUCUUGCAUGAUAGUCCUCCCUGGAAGCCUUUAAAAAAGUGAAUUAAACUACAAAAUAAACAAAACAGAUAAUAUAUGGCAGAUCAUAUCACCAAAUAAACUAACUACACAAAUAAGCAUGAAAAAGACAUAGUUUGAACAAAAUCAUCAUCAUCAAGAUUUUAAAUUAGUCACAUGGCAACUUAUAAAUACAGUUGAAGUUGAUUCAGCUUCAAUUGCAAUCACAACUAGUCAUCAAAAUUUUGAUGUUGUGACUACAAUUGUUGUCACAGAACAUAACAUUUUUAAAACAUAAACUUAUGAUCAAGCAACUUUGUUUUAUAUUAAAAAAAAAAGUAUAAUUAGCAAUAUUAGAUAGUGAUUAUAGAAACUAAUGACCAAAAAGGAUUAGAGUAUAUGAUCAAGAAUAGAUAGAUGAGAUUGCAUACCUCAAGAAAGUCUGGAAAAUGACAGAGUCUGGAAAUUUAGAGUGUGUCGGUAUUAAAUAGUAGAUAAGAUAAUGAAUGAGUGAAUGAAUGCAAGUGUAGAGAUUGUAAUUCAAUAUUUUAAAUUAUCUUUUCUUUCCUUUUUGGGACACGCAGCCCCUAAAUAUAUUUAGCCGACUAAAUUAAUAUAUUUAAAUAGCUUAAGCAUUUUAUUAAAAAUAAAUGGUAUAAUCAACUUCUGAUAAUGUCUAAUUUUUUUUUUUAAGUAAAAAUGGAAAGCAUGACAUCAUAGUAAGUCAUCGACAUCCCAACUAUAUUGACACCUCAGUGCACUAUCACUCCUCUAUUAUCUCACCAAAAAUAUACUUCAUAAUUUGUCUUAUCCUUUUAACAAUUACUAGUAAUUAUUCAUUGACAAUGAUAUGUUGGUGCUCCCAUCCCACCUCUAAAAAAAAUUUCUCCAUCUUCAAAAAUAUAUAAGAAAAUGAUAAAGAAAAUGAGUGGCUGAUAAGCUCUAUAUUAUUCUAAAUACUAAAUUUAUCCGUUGAAAUUUUUUAAAUUCAGAACUACUUCACAAAGUGAUAUCUUACGUAUUUUCUAUAUAGGAGCAUAAGUGUCUUCACAAAAUACUAAUUCCUUUAGUUCAAUUUUUCUACCCAACCAAACAAGCAAAGAGAACACUUAUCUUUUCUUACCCAGUUUCUCUUUUCUCGAAUACAUAGGUGUUAUUCAAAAAUCUAAAAAAAUGUGACAAAAUUAUACUAGGAGUUAUUUAUCUUUAUUAUUGAUUUUUAUUGCGAAGUUGUAGUGCACCAUUCUUAUCGUGGAGCAAACUUUUGUGCGGAUACAUUGACAAAUUACGAGUGUUUAUUGGAUAAAAAGAUGAAAUUUUAAGAGUCAUAUCCGGUGAAUUUUAGUCAUUUGUUAAUUACUAAUGUAAUUGGGAGAAUUUCUUCCGCUAUAUUAAUCUUGUGUAAUCUUUUUUCUCUUUUCUCGAAUACAUAGGUGUUAUUCAAAAAUCUAAAAAAAUGUGACAAAAUUAUCCUAGGAGUUAUUUAUCUUUAUCUUCUUUUUUCCCCAAAUUGAUCACUUAUCUUUAUAAAUGUGCACAACUAAAUCUUUUAUCAUAUUUGUUUGUAACAUAUUCAUCAAUUAUUUUAUUUAUUUAUAACAUAUUCAUCCUUUAUCUUAUUUUUUAUCUCACACGUGUCAUUUAUCUUUAUAAAUGUGUACGAAUAUUUCAAAGGGAUGGGCUGCAAUAUUUCAAUGUUUGGUCGCGAGGUAAGGAAAGUUUGACAAAAAAUUUAUUCCCACCAAAUAUCGAACUCAGGUUCUCCCGAACAAUUCAUCCUUAAGGGAGCUAAUUUACUCUAUAUUAUCCAAUAAACAUGGAUGUUCUUGCGAGUAUAUUUGGAAAGACACUAAAUGUUGGAUUUUAAAUGUUAGUGGUUCAGUCGAAUGUUGGAUAUAAAAUGUUGCGAGUAUAUCAGAACUGUGGUUCAAUAGUGUUUAUAAAAUUUGGACACCACUCUCUUACAAGCCGAUUUUAUAAGAUCGAAUUAAACUAACUCAAAUUCUAACCAAACCCUUUGAUUGAUUGUUACUAUGUCUGCACAAGAUCUGUUAUUCUUUUGUAUUGCCUUAAUCUCAUGACUUGUGUAUAUCUAUCUUUCUGAUUUAAGGGGCUAUAAAAUAUUUAUUCCAGGAUCCUGUUUGUUACACUACACUGUAAGAUUGUUUCAGAUGCUAAAUUAGCGUUUCAGAUCAGAGAUUAGUUCUAUAACAAUGUGUUAACCUAUUACUAUCACUUUCUACCCUUGAGGCCUUGACAAAUGAGUUUGUUCUGACUAUUGAAACGAGAGAGACGAACAUGGACAAAAACUAACCUAAUUGAAAUGCAAUGGUGACAACUGAGNNNNNNNNNNNNNNNNNNNNNNNNNNNNNNNNNNNNNNNNNNNNNNNNNNNNNNNNNNNNNNNNNNNNNNNNNNNNNNNNNNNNNNNNNNNNNNNNNNNNNNNNAUAUCUAUAUCCAUAUAUGAUACUUAUCACAUAGCCAUAUAACAUAUUCAUAUAUGAUACAAGAAAGAGUGGAUGAAUCCAAAAAUACAAACUGUAUAUCACUAAAACUAGAGAAUAUGCUCACCUCUUGUUUUUCUCCUAUAGCUAGCUACAUACAAAGAGAAAAAAGUGUAAUUAUCCAAUUACACUUUCCAAUCUUGUCUUUAUUCCUCUCAAGUCUUAACCAACCAUAUGGUAAUUUAAUAUCAUGUCACUCCGCUUAUAUUACCAUUUAUUUACAUCCAUAAAAAAUGAAGAACGAGUAGAAUGUCUAAAGUGUUGGUAUGGGAGUUGUUCUGCUACUAAAAGGUAGAAAAGCCCCAUUACUCCAGAGUGUUCCUUGGUGUUAUUGUAGAUAGAUUCUAGAGUUAAAGUUUCACCAUCGAUUAUCUUGACAGAACCUGGUUGAGGAUAACAGGUGGACAUUCCUACAAUGUACCCUACUUCAUUUCCUGCUUCAUUCCCAUUUCCAUAAGUUGGUAUAGAUGAACAUAUAACCCUACCGUCCUGAAAACAUAAUUCACAAAUUUCACAAAACAAGCUACUGCACAAUGUUUAACUUCUUGAUCAAAAGUAAAAGUACUAGAAAACAACCCUGGUACAAGAGUAAACAGAUACGAAAAACGACCAAGUAUUGAAGUUUCAAAGUCAAAGUCUUACCACUAUCAAGUAUUUAAGAAUGACUAUAAGUUAUAAAUAUUGCAAAUUACCUGUCCAUAUAGAGUCGAUCCAAUUCCACCUGAAUGUUGAUGAGCAACAGCAUAUAUCACAUAGCCACCAGUUUGUAAUGGGAGAUUUGUCCUCUUUACAUGAACACAACCAUUUUCCUCCUUGUUGUUUGUACUGCAAGAUUCUACUUGAUACUCAUUCUGAAACCCAAAAAAAAACCAUGUUGCUCACUAUAUAAUACCCAACAAAGUAAUGGACUAGUGUUAUGUUUUAGAGUUAAAUUCAGAUUUAGACAAACAAACUACAUAUAUAAUUCCCUAUAAUUUAGAUACUCUACAUUCACACAAUCAGCAGACCAGUAACCGUAUUGGAUGAUCAAAGAUUCAAAGCGCGGUAUUUUGGAUUUUAAAACAAUCAAAAUCUAUAUAUUUUGUGAAUUGUCCGAUUUUUAUCCAACAGUACUGGUGCAUUGACUACGUGAAAGCGGUGUAUCCCAACUACACAUAACCCAUUUCAACAAACCAAAUGUUUCUUGAUGAACUCAUUUACCUUGCAAUUAUGAUCUGAGUUUGUUCCUUUUGAACCAUCUGAUAGUUUCAAAGUAUCACUCACAUCAAAUAUAUAUAUCUUAACAGGCACUAUAUAAUCAUCCCAAUCAAUCCAUUUCACUGUGUAUCUUAAGUAGAGGCUUCUCUUUGGACCCUCAAAACCUUCCUUCAGCUUGCACUGUGUAUAAUCAUAACAACAUAACAAACCUCCUUUAUAAUCUGGCCUAAUAGACCUUNNNNNNNNNNNNNNNNNNNNNNNNNNNNNNNNNNNNNNNNNNNNNNNNNNNNNNNNNNNNNNNNNNAUCUGGCCUAAUAGACCUUCCAUAUGAAUCCACCGUAACAUUAUAAAGGUCACACUUACACUCAGUACACCCUGAUUUAUCCUCUGCGCCACGCGUAUCAAUAGCAUGAAUAUUAACCAUCCAUUUCUCCUCAAACCCUUCCGGAAUCUCUGCAGGAUUACCUAUCUCAAUUCCAAAAGGAUCCGGAAUAUCAGUCGCUGUUCCUCGUGUUUCGGAUCCAAGGCCAAAGUACUGUCCAAGAGUAUCUCCCUGACAUAUGCCACUGUUCCUAACAUGAACUCUAUCAGAGUAUUUACUUUGAUGAUAUCUUACAACAAGCCAAUGAUGGAGAUAAGUUUCAUGGAGAG
rnacentral:lncRNA from 1 species